GCGGGAGUGGCGGAAAUGGUAGACGCGUCAGGUUUAGGUCCUGGUGUCCUCGGACGUAGGGGUUCAAGUCCCCUCUCCCGCACUA
rnacentral:tRNA from 1 species